rnacentral:rRNA from 1 species
GAUGAACGCUGGCGGCGUGCCUAAUACAUGCAAGUCGAGCGAACAGACGAGGAGCUUGCUCCUCUGACGUUAGCGGCGGACGGGUGAGUAACACGUGGAUAACCUACCUAUAAGACUGGGAUAACUUCGGGAAACCGGAGCUAAUACCGGAUAAUAUAUUGAACCGCAUGGUUCAAUAGUGAAAGACGGUUUUGCUGUCCCUUAUAGAUGGAUCCGCGCCGCAUUAGCUAGUUGGUAAGGUAACGGCUUACCAAGGCAACGAUGCGUAGCCGACCUGAGAGGGUGAACGGCCACACCGGACCUGAGACACGGUCCAGACUCCUAAGGGAGGGAGCAGUAGGGACCCUUCCGCAAUGGGCGCAAGCCUGACGGAGCAACGCCGCGUGAGUGAUGACGGUCUUCGGAUCGUAAAACUCUGUUAUUAGGGAAGAACAAAUGUGUAAGUAACUAUGCACGUCUUGACGGUAACUAAUCAGAAAGCCACGGCUAACUACGUG